AAAUGCGAUAAGUAAUGUGAAUUGCAGAAUUCAGUGAAUCAUCGAAUCUUUGAACGCACCUUGCGCUCCUUGGUAUUCCUUGGAGCAUGCCUGUUUGAGUAUCAUGAAAUCUUCAAAGUAAAUCUUUUGUUAACUCAAUUGGUUUCUACUUUGGUAUUGGAGGUCUUUGCAGCUUCACACCUGCUCCUCUUUGUUCAUUAGCUGGAUCUCAGUGUUAUGCUUGGUUCCACUCGGCGUGAUAAGUUAUCUAUCGCUGAGGAAACUGUAAAAGGUGGCCAAGGUAAAUGCAGAUGAACCGCUUCUAAUAGUCCAUUGACUUGGACAAUACUUUUAUGAUCUGAUCUCAAAUCAGGUAGGACUACCCGCUGAACUUAAGC
rnacentral:misc_RNA from 1 species